GAUGAACGCUGGCGGCGUGCCUAAUACAUGCAAGUCGAGCGAAGCGGGGACGGGUGAGUAACACGUGGAUAACCUCCUAUAAGACUGGGAUAACUUCGGGAAACCGGAGCUAAACCGGAUACUUAUAGAUGGAUCCGCGCUGCAUUAGCUAGUUGGUAAGGUAACGGCUUACCAAGGCAACGAUGCAUAGCCGACCUGAGAGGGGUAUCGGCCAAACCGGAACUGAGAAACGGGUCCGACUCCCAAGGGAGGCAGCAGGAGGGAAGCUUUCGCAAUUGGCGAAAGGCUGAACGAGCCAAGCCGCGGUAGGGAAGAAGGGCCUCCGAUUGGAAAACUCUGUUAUUAGGGAAGCGGUACCUAAUCAGAAAGCCACGGCUAACUACGUGCCAGCAGCCGCGGUAAUAC
rnacentral:rRNA from 1 species